rnacentral:rRNA from 1 species
GACAUAGGUCGCAAACGUUAUCCGGAAUUAUUGGGCGUAAAGGAUGCGUAGAUGGUUCAGUAAGUUACUGGUGGGAAAUCGAGGCCCAACCUCGUGGAAGUUAGUAAUACUGUUGAACUUGAGUGCAGGAGAGGUUAACGGAACUUCAUGUGGAGCGGUAAAAUGCGUAGAUAUAUGAAAGAACAUCAAUAUGGCGAAGGCAGUUAACUAUUCUGCUACUGACGUUGAGGCAUGAAAGCGUGGGGAGCAAAACGG